GAUGAACGCUGGCGGCGUGCCUAAUACAUGCAAGUCGAGCGAACAGACGAGGAGCUUGCUCCUCUGACGUUAGCGGCGGACGGGUGAGUAACACGUGGAUAACCUACCUAUAAGACUGGGAUAACUUCGGGAAACCGGAGCUAAUACCGGAUAAUAUAUUGAACCGCAUGGUUCAAUAGUGAAAGACGGUUUUGCUGUCACUUAUAGAUGGAUCCGCGCCGCAUUAGCUAGUUGGUAAGGUAACGGCUUACCAAGGCAACGAUGCGUAGCCGACCUGAGAGGGUGAUCGGCCACACUGGAACUGAGACACGGUCCAGACUCCUACGGGAGGCAGCAGUAGGGAAUCUUCCGCAAUGGGCGAAAGCCUGACGGAGCCACGCCGCGUGAGUGAUGAAGGUCUUCGGGUCGUAAAACUCUGUUAUUAGGGAAGAACAAAUGUGUAAGUAACUAUGCACGUCUUGACGGUACCUAAUCAGAAAGCCACGGCUAACUACGUG
rnacentral:rRNA from 1 species